UUAAGCGACUAAGCGUACACGGUGGAUGCCCUGGCAGUCAGAGGCGAUGAAGGACGUGCUAAUCUGCGAUAAGCGUCGGUAAGGUGAUAUGAACCGUUAUAACCGGCGAUUUCCGAAUGGGGAAACCCAGUGUGUUUCGACACACUAUCAUUAACUGAAUCCAUAGGUUAAUGAGGCGAACCGGGGGAACUGAAACAUCUAAGUACCCCGAGGAAAAGAAAUCAACCGAGAUUCCCCCAGUAGCGGCGAGCGAACGGGGAGCAGCCCAGAGCCUGAAUCAGUGUGUGUGUUAGUGGAAGCGUCUGGAAAGGCGCGCGAUACAGGGUGACAGCCCCGUACACAAAAAUGCACAUGCUGUGAGCUCGAUGAGUAGGGCGGGACACGUGGUAUCCUGUCUGAAUAUGGGGGGACCAUCCUCCAAGGCUAAAUACUCCUGACUGACCGAUAGUGAACCAGUACCGUGAGGGAAAGGCGAAAAGAACCCCGGCGAGGGGAGUGAAAAAGAACCUGAAACCGUGUACGUACAAGCAGUGGGAGCACGCUUAGGCGUGUGACUGCGUACCUUUUGUAUAAUGGGUCAGCGACUUAUAUUCUGUAGCAAGGUUAACCGAAUAGGGGAGCCGAAGGGAAACCGAGUCUUAACUGGGCGUUAAGUUGCAGGGUAUAGACCCGAAACCCGGUGAUCUAGCCAUGGGCAGGUUGAAGGUUGGGUAACACUAACUGGAGGACCGAACCGACUAAUGUUGAAAAAUUAGCGGAUGACUUGUGGCUGGGGGUGAAAGGCCAAUCAAACCGGGAGAUAGCUGGUUCUCCCCGAAAGCUAUUUAGGUAGCGCCUCGUGAAUUCAUCUCCGGGGGUAGAGCACUGUUUCGGCAAGGGGGUCAUCCCGACUUACCAACCCGAUGCAAACUGCGAAUACCGGAGAAUGUUAUCACGGGAGACACACGGCGGGUGCUAACGUCCGUCGUGAAGAGGGAAACAACCCAGACCGCCAGCUAAGGUCCCAAAGUCAUGGUUAAGUGGGAAACGAUGUGGGAAGGCCCAGACAGCCAGGAUGUUGGCUUAGAAGCAGCCAUCAUUUAAAGAAAGCGUAAUAGCUCACUGGUCGAGUCGGCCUGCGCGGAAGAUGUAACGGGGCUAAACCAUGCACCGAAGCUGCGGCAGCGACGCUUAUGCGUUGUUGGGUAGGGGAGCGUUCUGUAAGCCUGCGAAGGUGUGCUGUGAGGCAUGCUGGAGGUAUCAGAAGUGCGAAUGCUGACAUAAGUAACGAUAAAGCGGGUGAAAAGCCCGCUCGCCGGAAGACCAAGGGUUCCUGUCCAACGUUAAUCGGGGCAGGGUGAGUCGACCCCUAAGGCGAGGCCGAAAGGCGUAGUCGAUGGGAAACAGGUUAAUAUUCCUGUACUUGGUGUUACUGCGAAGGGGGGACGGAGAAGGCUAUGUUGGCCGGGCGACGGUUGUCCCGGUUUAAGCGUGUAGGCUGGUUUUCCAGGCAAAUCCGGAAAAUCAAGGCUGAGGCGUGAUGACGAGGCACUACGGUGCUGAAGCAACAAAUGCCCUGCUUCCAGGAAAAGCCUCUAAGCAUCAGGUAACAUCAAAUCGUACCCCAAACCGACACAGGUGGUCAGGUAGAGAAUACCAAGGCGCUUGAGAGAACUCGGGUGAAGGAACUAGGCAAAAUGGUGCCGUAACUUCGGGAGAAGGCACGCUGAUAUGUAGGUGAAGUCCCUCGCGGAUGGAGCUGAAAUCAGUCGAAGAUACCAGCUGGCUGCAACUGUUUAUUAAAAACACAGCACUGUGCAAACACGAAAGUGGACGUAUACGGUGUGACGCCUGCCCGGUGCCGGAAGGUUAAUUGAUGGGGUUAGCGCAAGCGAAGCUCUUGAUCGAAGCCCCGGUAAACGGCGGCCGUAACUAUAACGGUCCUAAGGUAGCGAAAUUCCUUGUCGGGUAAGUUCCGACCUGCACGAAUGGCGUAAUGAUGGCCAGGCUGUCUCCACCCGAGACUCAGUGAAAUUGAACUCGCUGUGAAGAUGCAGUGUACCCGCGGCAAGACGGAAAGACCCCGUGAACCUUUACUAUAGCUUGACACUGAACAUUGAGCCUUGAUGUGUAGGAUAGGUGGGAGGCUUUGAAGUGUGGACGCCAGUCUGCAUGGAGCCGACCUUGAAAUACCACCCUUUAAUGUUUGAUGUUCUAACGUUGACCCGUGAUCCGGGUUGCGGACAGUGUCUGGUGGGUAGUUUGACUGGGGCGGUCUCCUCCUAAAGAGUAACGGAGGAGCACGAAGGUUGGCUAAUCCUGGUCGGACAUCAGGAGGUUAGUGCAAUGGCAUAAGCCAGCUUGACUGCGAGCGUGACGGCGCGAGCAGGUGCGAAAGCAGGUCAUAGUGAUCCGGUGGUUCUGAAUGGAAGGGCCAUCGCUCAACGGAUAAAAGGUACUCCGGGGAUAACAGGCUGAUACCGCCCAAGAGUUCAUAUCGACGGCGGUGUUUGGCACCUCGAUGUCGGCUCAUCACAUCCUGGGGCUGAAGUAGGUCCCAAGGGUAUGGCUGUUCGCCAUUUAAAGUGGUACGCGAGCUGGGUUUAGAACGUCGUGAGACAGUUCGGUCCCUAUCUGCCGUGGGCGCUGGAGAACUGAGGGGGGCUGCUCCUAGUACGAGAGGACCGGAGUGGACGCAUCACUGGUGUUCGGGUUGUCAUGCCAAUGGCACUGCCCGGUAGCUAAAUGCGGAAGAGAUAAGUGCUGAAAGCAUCUAAGCACGAAACUUGCCCCGAGAUGAGUUCUCCCUGACUCCUUGAGAGUCCUGAAGGAACGUUGAAGACGACGACGUUGAUAGGCCGGGUGUGUAAGCGCAGCGAUGCGUUGAGCUAACCGGUACUAAUGAACCGUGAGGCUUAACCUU
rnacentral:rRNA from 3 species